ensembl:snRNA U6 U6 spliceosomal RNA
CUGUUCAUUUUAGCAAUACAGAUGAUACAACUGGAAAAUCAGAAAAGACUGACAUGGCGCCUUACAAGGAUGACACACAACUUCAUGAAGAAUUCAUAUUUUUA